GUAAUACAUCGGAACAUGCCCAGUCGUGGGGGAUAACACUUCGAAAGAAGUGCUAAUACCGCAUACGUCCUGAGGGAGAAAGCGGGGGAUCGCAAGACCUCGCGCGAUUGGAGUGGCCGAUGUCAGAUUAGCUAGUUGGUGGGGUAAAGGCCUACCAAGGCAACGAUCUGUAGCGGGUCUGAGAGGAUGAUCAGCCACACUGGGACUGAGACACGGCCCAGACUCCUACGGGAGGCAGCAGUGGGGAAUUUUGGACAAUGGGGGCAACCCUGAUCCAGCCAUUCCGCGUGAGUGAAGAAGGCCUUCGGGUUGUAAAGCUCUUUCGGCAGGAACGAAACGGCGAGCUCUAACAUAGCUCGCUAAUGACGGUACCUGAAGAAGAAGCACCGGCUA
rnacentral:rRNA from 1 species